rnacentral:tRNA from 1 species
GGCUCGGUGGUGUAGUUGGUUAUCACGUCAGUCUAACAUUGGUUAGCACACUGAAGGUCCCGAGUUCAAACCUCGGCUGAGUCA